ACGCACGCUGGCGGCGUGCUUAACCCAUGCAAGUCGAACGGAAAGGCCCUGCUUUUGUGGGGUGCUCGAGUGGCGAACGGGUGAGUAACACGUGAGUAACCUGCCCUUGACUUUGGGAUAACUUCAUGAAACUGGGGCUAAUACCGGAUAGGAGCUCCUGCUGCAUGGUGGGGGUUGGAAAGUUUCGGCGGUUGGGGAUGGACUCGCGGCUUAUCAGCUUGUUGGUGGGGUAGUGGCUUACCAAGGCUUUGACGGGUAGCCGGCCUGAGAGGGUGACCGGCCACAUUGGGACUGAGAUACGGCCCAGACUCCUACGGGAGGCAGCAGUGGGGAAUAUUGCACAAUGGGCGGAAGCCUGAUGCAGCAACGCCGCGUGCGGGAUGACGGCCUUCGGGUUGUAAACCGCUUUCGCCUGUGACGAAGCGUGAGUGACGGUAAUGGGUAAAGAAGCACCGGCUAACUACGUG
rnacentral:rRNA from 1 species